AUACGGAGGGUGCAAGCGUUAUUCGGAAUCACUGGGCGUAAAGGACGCGUAGGCGGGUUGGCAAGUCAGAUGUGAAAUCCUACAGCUUAACUGUAGAACUGCAUUUGAAACUGCUAACCUAGAGUAUGGGAGGGGGAGAUGGAAUUAGUGGUGUAGGGGUAAAAUCCGUAGAUAUCACUAGGAAUACCGAAAGCGAAGGCGAUCUCCUGGAACAUAACUGACGCUAAGGCGUGAAAGCGUGGGGAGCAAUCAGGAUUAGAAACCCUAGUAGUCC
rnacentral:rRNA from 1 species